rnacentral:lncRNA from 1 species
CAUCCUCUCAUCUGCGUCUCCCCCUCGGCCAAGUUUUCCGGAAACAUCCGGCUGGAAGGAUGCUCCAGGGAGCGGAGCGGGCAAAAGCAGGCACUGGGGGUAGCCCCAGGACUCCUCCGGCUGAAGCUACCAGCUGCCCCAGAGAACAGAGCAGUGCCCUUCCUGCUUGGGAGGGGAGCGAGGGCUACGGCAGCAGCGGGAAGUUGUCAGUUCUGUGUGCUGGGUUUCUCUGUGCCAGGCGUCACCAGUGCGCACGCGGCGUCCACAGAUCUUCCAGGCACCAGUGUCUCAGGGAGGACACUUGGUGAGGGUGCUGUCCCGGAGCCCCCAGACCCACCAAGCCACAAGAAAUCCAAAAGCCCCAGGCAAGACAGGGCCAGGCAGCCGUGUCCCUAAACGGCUGGGCUGUGGGACCCAGGGCUCCGCGCGGCUCUUCUUG